GGUCAAGCUACUAAGGGUCUAUGCACGGAUGACUAGGUUAGGUGAGGCGAGGAAGGACGGGGGUAAACUCCGAUAUUUUCUCGGGGAGCCGCAAACAGGCAUUGAUCCGGGAGAUUCCGAAUGGGGAAACCCAUCCCGAUUAAUAUCGGGAUACUCUACUGCUGAAUCCAUAGGUGGUAGAGAGUAACACCAGGGGAAGUGAAACAUCUCAGUACCCUGAGGAAAAGAAAUCUGCGUGAGAUUCCCCCAGUAGCGGCGAGCGAAAAGGGAAGAGCCUAAAUCCGCCAAGUUUCUUGGCGGAGGUUGUGGGAUCUCGUUAAAGGGAUUGUGGAGGGAUAGCAGAAGUAUCUGGAAAGAUACGCCAUAGAGAGUGAAAGCCUCGUAUGCGAAAUCCGGAAGCACCCUUGAGAUAUCCCAAGUACCACGGGACACGGGAAAUCCUGUGGGAAUCUGGGCCGACCACGGUCUAAGGCUAAAUACUCCACCUAAACCGAUAGUGCACAAGUACCGUGAGGGAAAGUUGAAAAGAACCCCGGUGAGGGGAGUGAAAUAGAACCUGAAAUCAUAGACCCACAAGCGGUGGAAGGGCUAUGAGCCGAUCUUGCGUCGGCUAACGCCUGACCACGUACCUUUUGCAUAAUGGUCCGACGAGUUACUAUGCGGUGCGAGUUUAAGUCCGACAAGGUCUGUCGGACGGAGACGUAGCGAAAGCGAGUCCUAACUGGGCGAUUGAGUACUGUAUAGUAGACCCGAAACCGAGUGAUCUACCCAUGGCCAAGGUGAAGUCCGCCGAAAGGCGGAUGGAGGCCUGAACCCGUCACUGUUGAAAAAGUGUGGGAUGAGCUGUGGGUAGGAGUGAAAGGCUAAACAAACUCGGAGAUAGCUGGUUCUCCCCGAAAUAUUUCUAGGGAUAGCCUCGGGUAAUUGUUUAGUGGGGGUAGAGUGCUGAAUGGGUUACAGGACCUUACUAGGUUGCUGAGCCCAACCAAACUCCGAAUACCACUAAAUUUAUCCCGGGAGUAAGACAAUGGGGGCUAAGCUCCAUUGUCAAGAGGGAAUCAGCCCAGACCACCAGCUAAGGUCCCUAAGCAUAGGCUAAGUGGUAAAGGAUGUGAUUUCGCUUAGACAACCAGGAUGUUGGCUUAGAGGCAGCCAUCAUUUAAAGAGUGCGUAACAGCUCACUGGUCGAGCGAUUUCGCGCCUAAAAUAAUCGGGGCUUAAGCCUAUUACCGAAGCUGUGGGUUUCUGAUGUUAUCAUCGGAAGCGGUAGGGGAGCGUUCUCCACGGGGUGAAGUCGUACCGUAAGGAGCGAUGGACUGUGGAGAAGUGAUUAUGUCGGAAUGAGUAGCGAAAAUGCCGGCGAGAAACCGGCACGCCGAAAGCCUAAGGUUUCCUGGGGAAGGUUAAUCCGCCCAGGGUUAGUCGAGCCUAAGCCGAGGCCAAGUGGCGUAGGUGAUGGGUGAUCCGUUAAUAUUCGGAUACCAGCUAAGUAGCGUUAAUACUUUCUCUCUGACGCGAGGCGUGUUUAGGGCGGCGCGGUGGUGGACGUCCGCGUUCCUGCUAUGGCAACGUAGCGGGAGGAUCCUGAGGAUUCCGAGGGAGAAGUGUGCUAAAACAUGCUGCCAAGAAAAGGAGAGGAAGGAGUUACUUAGCUGUUCGUACCGGAAUCCGACACAGGUAGGCCACCAGAGAAUGGUAAGGCGCUCGAGAUAACCCUCGUUAAGGAACUCGGCAAAAUAGCUCCGUAAGUUCGCAAGAAGGAGUCCCUGGAUCAUACGAUUCAGGGCACAGUAAAGUGGCCCGGGUGACUGUUUAGCAAAAACACAGCACUCUGCAAACUCGAAAGAGGAUGUAUAGGGUGUGACACCUGCCCGGUGCUGGAAGGUUAAGGGGAAGAGUUACUCCAGGGUUUCCUCGGGGAAAGCUCUGAACCGAAGCCCCAGUAAACGGCGGCCGUAACUAUAACGGUCCUAAGGUAGCGAAAUUCCUUGUGGGGUAAGUUCCCACGCGCACGAAUGGUGUAACAACUUGGGCGCUGUCUCAACGAGGGACUCGGCGAAAUUGUAGUGGCGGUGAAGAUGCCGUCUACCCGCAUCAAGACGAAAAGACCCCGGAACCUUUACUGCAACCUGCUAUUGGAUUUUGGUCCAAUAUGUGUAGAAUAGGUGGGAGGCUGUGAAGCGAAGGCGCUAGCUUUCGCAGAGCCGCAAUGUGAAAUACCACCCUUAUUGUACUAAGAUUCUAAUUCCGACCCAUGAAACUGGGCGGAAGACAGUGGCAGGCGGGCAGUUUGACUGGGGCGGUUCCCUUCUAAAGGAUAACGAAGGGGCCCAAAGGUUGGCUCAAGGCGGUCGGCAAUCGCCUGUGGAGUGUAAGCGCAUAAGCCAGCUUAACUGUGAGUCCGACAGGACGAGCAGAUACGAAAGUAGGGGCUAGUGAUCCGGUGGUGGAAAGUGGGAUGGCCAUCGCUCAACGGAUAAUAGGUACUCCGGGGAUAACAGGCUUAUCGGGCUCGAGAGUUCACAUCGACAGCCCGGUUUGGCACCUCGAUGUCGGCUCAUCCUAUCCUGGGGCUGAAUAAGGUCCCAAGGGUCCGGCUGUUCGCCGGUUAAAAGGGUACGCGAGCUGGGUUCAGAACGUCGUGAGACAGUUCGGUCUCUAUCUGAUGUGGGCGUAAGGAUACCUGAAGGGGAGUUCUCCUCAGUACGAGAGGACCAGGAGAAACGAACCGCUGGUGUUCCAGUUGUCCUGCCAAGGGCAAAGGCUGGGUAGCCACGUUCGGAAGGGAUAAGCGCUGAAAGCAUCUAAGUGCUAAGCCCACCCCAAGAAUAGGUAUCCCUUCCGCCAUUAACCGUGGCGGAUGAAGGCUUCCCGUAGACUACGGGAUUGAUAGGUGCAGGGUGUAAGACCCGUAAGGGUUUUAGCCAAUGCGUACUAAUCAGCCAAGCGGCUUGACCAU
rnacentral:rRNA from 1 species